ensembl:lncRNA novel transcript
ACAAAACAUCAAGCCAACAGUUCAGGACUAGUCAUUCAAAUGGACUAAAGGUGGGGGAGAAAAAAUAAGAGUGGAUAAAAGAAAGAAAGAAAACAGAGAAAGGUGGGAAAAAAAAAACAAAGGAAGGAAGAGAGAAAAGAGAAUGAGAGGAAGAGAAGGAAGGGGAAAAACAAGAUUGACUUUACAGUAUGAGAUAUACUAUUAUAUAUUGGACCCUUGGUGGGCAGUGCCUAAACAGAGACAACUACAGGUUUCUGGCUGUGGCCACUCUCUGGUGAAACUAAGGGGUUUCUGUGUGGAGGUGCCUAACAGCCACCGUCCAGUUUGGGUAAAGAAAGCUUUUUAUGGUUCACUAAGGACAAUCAACCCCUUCGCAAUCUAGAACCAAAAGACUGGAUCUUCUGAGAACAUCUACUUAGUAUGAUGCCUCUGGCUUCCCUCUAUCACACGUCUUCUUUUCGAGUAAAGGUUUUUCAUAAAUGUGAGCGUGGAAGAAGAAACCAGUUAAAUAUGGAACUUCACACCAGGACACAAAAGGACUUCAAACUUUUAGAUUCCACAAGUAUGUGAAAAGAUGCAGUAUUUGUCUUUCUGUGCAUGGUUUACUUCACUUAUCAUCAUGUCCCUCAGGUUCAUCCACGUUGUUGCAAAUGACAGGAUUUCAUUCAUUUUUAAGACUGAAUAGUACUCCAUUAUGCAAAUAUACCAGAUUUUCAUUGUCUAUUCGUUCACUGAUGAACACGGGUUAAUCCUAUAUGUUGGCUAUUGUGAAUAAAGCUGCAAUGAAUAUGAGAGUACAG